UUAACUCAAAUUUGUAAAGAGUUGGAACUUUACCUACGUUUGCUGCCAGGGGCGCUGUUCCAACUCCAUACAAAUUUGAGUUA
rfam:Bombyx mori DNA, contig: Bm_scaf73_contig31453, strain: p50T/Dazao, build 2, whole genome shotgun sequence.